rnacentral:rRNA from 1 species
AGAGAGAGACAUGCGCGCAUAUCAAUAAGCGGAGGAAAAGAAACUAACAAGGAUUCCCUUAGUAACGGCGAGUGAAGCGGGAAGAGCUCAAAUUUGAAAUCUUCAAGGUUUUACCUUGACGAAUUGUAGUUUAAAGAAGUGUUUUCUGCUGAAGUUUUGGUAAAAGUUCUUUGGAAUAGGACAUCAUAGAGGGUGAGAAUCCCGUAUUUGACCAUUAUUUUCAGCUUUGUGAUACACUUUCAAAGAGUCGGAUUGUUUGGGAAUGCAGUCCAAAAUGGGUGGUAAAUUUCAUCUAAAGCUAAAUAUUGGCGAGAGACCGAUAGCGAACAAGUACCGUGAGGGAAAGAUGAAAAGAACUUUGAAAAGAGAGUUAAACAGUACGUGAAAUUGUCAAAAGGGAAGCGUUUGACACCAGUGUUGUUUUCUCGAGAAUCAAUUAAAAAUGGCUCGAUUUUGUAUUGUUGAGACCUUAAAAGCUCACUGUACAUUUUUCGUGUCUUUUUUAAUGCACUUUUCGUUUAACAAGUCAACAUCAGUUUCUUUUGUUGUAAAAGGGUCAUUGGAAGGUGGCUUUCUUUUCGGAGAAAGUGUUUAUAGCCUUUGGUCCUCUGCAAUCGGAGAGACUGAGGUCUGCAGCGUAGACUCUUCGGGGUUAGAUACAUUUGUGCUAAGUUAUAGCUUUUUAUAGACAACUUGUUGACUAUAAUUAGUCUUGUAGCUUACUCGCUUAUGCUAUUUUACCUACGCUUAGGAUGUUGAAGAUGUAGCACAUCAU